GAUGAACGCUGGCGGCGUGCCUAAUACAUGCAAGUCGCGCGAACGGACGAGAUGCUUGCUUCUCUGAUGUUAGCGGCGGACGGGUGAGUAACACGUGGAUAAUCUACCUAUAAGACUGGGAUAACUUCGGGAAACCGGAGCUAAUACCGGAUGAUAUUUUGAACCGCAUGGCUCAAAAGUGUAAGACGGUCUUGCUGUCACUUAUAGCUGGCUCCGCGCUGCAUUAGCUAGUUGGUAAGGUAACGGCUUACCAAGGCAACGCUGCAUAGCCGACCUGAGAGGGUGAUCGGCCACACUAGAGGGGAGACACGGUCCAGCCUCCUACGGGAGGCAGCAUUAGCGAAUCGUCCGCAAUGGGCGAAAGCCUGACGGUGCAACGCCGCGUGAGGGAUGAAGGUCUUCGGAUCGUAAAACUCUGUUAUUUAGGAAGAACAUUUGUGUACGUAACUGUGCACAUCUUGACGGUAACUAGUCAGAAAUCCACGACUAGCUGCGUG
rnacentral:rRNA from 1 species